rfam:Orchesella cincta Ocin01_Sc1752, whole genome shotgun sequence.
AAAUAGGCUCUUUCACAGAGCCAUCAACUUUCUCAUGAACGAUGAA